AAUUAUAAUGAAAGCACCACUGCUGCCCCGAGGACGUACUCCAGUCACACUGACUGUAGAGGAACCUCGUAAAAUUUGUGUCUUGUUUCAUUUAUUCCACUGCACCCACAGUCGAUUUUACAACACGUUAUCAGCACGAGAAGCUCUCAUGUCAGUGGAAAGCACAACGCCACAAAUCCUGUUCACCUCCUUCAGCUGGAAUCUCACAGAAGCAAAAGAGUAAAAGACUAAAAAUUUGCAAGAGAAUUUGACAGCCAUGUAAAUAGCCUCGGAACUCCAACUUGCGGACCUCGGAUUGAAAUACUUUCUUCUUGAAAGUUGUUCGUCUGCUCAGUAUCUACAACAUAUCAAAAUUUCAGAAAAUGUUAACGGUGCGAUCGUGGCAGAUGUCUGAAAUACCAAACCAGUUUCCAAUUUCCGCAGAAAACUGGGCAGCCACCUUAUGAGUACCAAAACUCCAUUUCGGUAGCUCAAAUCGAUAUUGUUUCUUCACGAAAGUUGUUUGGUAUCCUCUUAUCCAUAUCAUACUAAAUUUUGAACUAAAUCUAACGGUUUGAUCUUCUCAUAAGUUGCAGACACUCUUGACUCCAAAACUUAUGGGAACCGUUUCGACUUUUUCGAAACUCACCGGAGGAGGAACCCCAAUUGGAACUUAUUGUUACUAUUAUUUACUGAGUAACCAAAAUGACUUCGAACUGUGAAAUAAUAAUAAAAAUAAAAGGGAUGAAACAAAAGAAGUGGUAGACCAAGAAAAUGAAAAAGCAAAACAUGAGGACUUAAUCAUUGCAUUUUCUGUUUUGGCAUAUUUAUGUGCAUGGUGUUGGUUUAAAGCCCAUGUCACAAGUUCUAUUUAUUUAAAGCAAUUUAUUUAUAGUGGGUAGAAUUAUUACCCUUUGCUUUAAAGCUUUGAUAUUUAUGUGAAUGGUGCUGAAUCAAAGCCCUUGUCACAAGCUUUAUUUACUUUAAAGCAAUUUAUUUACCAUGGACGGUUUUACCGCCUAUUGCUUUAAGUUUUGAUGGUGCUGAAUUAAAGCCCUUGUCACAAAUUUUAUUUACUUAAAUGCAAUUUAUUCAUUAUGGCUGGAAUUACCGUCUAUUGCUUUAAUUUAUUUAUUGUACUUAUCUUUUGUUACUAUGAGUAUAUACAGGACCUGAAGUUCCUUGAUCAGAUCAGAACCUGCAGUUUUUUGAUCCUCAUCAUAUAAAAUGAUUGGACCCGAAGUUCCAUCAUACAAAAGGAUCUAGCAUGAAGUCCCUUGAUCCUGAAGAUCAGGACAUGAAGUUCCUAGAUGAGUACCAUAAGUUUGAAGUGCCGCAGUGCUUUAACUUAAUUGUAAUAAAAGCCAUAAGAGUCUCAGUUUACAGACUAUUAAAUAAGGACCAGAAGUUCCUUAUGUCCAUACUCAAAAUGGUUUAGCAGAAGCCUUUAUUAAGCGAA
rnacentral:lncRNA from 1 species